GACGAACGCUGGCGGCGUGCUUAACACAUGCAAGUCGAGCGGUAAGGCCCUUUCGGGGUACGACGAGCGGCGAACGGGUGAGUAACACGUGGGUGACCUGCCCUCCAGCUCUGGGAGUAAGCCUGGGAAACCGGGGUACGUAAUACCGGAUAUGACUCCAUGACGCAUGUUGUGGGGUGGAAAGCCUUGUGCGGCUGAGGAUGGGCCCGCGGCCUAUCAGCUUGUUGGUGGGGUGAUGGCCUACCAAGGCGACGA
rnacentral:rRNA from 1 species